rnacentral:ncRNA from 2 species
UGGUUCCCUCCGAAGUUUCCCUCA